AUUGAACGCUGGCGGCAGGCCUAACACAUGCAAGUCGAGCGGGGAAAGGUAGCUUGCUCCCUGAUUUAGCGGCGGACGGGUGAGUAAUGCUUAGGAAUCUGCCUUUUAGUGGGGGAUAACAUCCCUAAAGGGAUGCUAAUACCGCAUACGUCCUUCGGGAGAAAGUAGGGGAUCUUCGGGCCUCGCGCUAUUAGAUGAGCCUAAGUCGAAUUAGCUAGUUGGUGGGGUAAGGGCCUACCAAGGCGACGAUCGGUAGCUGGUCUGAGAGGAGGAUCGGCAAAAUGGGAACGGAGAAAGGGCCAAGAAUCCAAGGGGAGGAAGAAGGGGGGAAAAUGGAGAAAGGGGAGAAAGCCGGACCAAGCAAGGCGGGGGGAGGGAGGAAGGCUUUUGGAUGGAAAAAACUUUAAAGGAGGGAGGAACAACCGAGAUUAAAACUCUUGAAUAGUGGACGUUACUAACAGAAUAAGCACCGGCUAACUCUGUG
rnacentral:rRNA from 1 species